rnacentral:rRNA from 1 species
UUGAACGCUGGCGGCAGGCCUAACACAUGCAAGUCGAGCGGAUGAAGGGAGCUUGCUCCUGGAUUCAGCGGCGGACGGGUGAGUAAUGCCUAGGAAUUUGCCUGGUAGUGGGGGAUAACGUCCGGAAACGGGCGCUAAUACCGCAUACGUCCUGAGGGAGAAAGUGGGGGAUCUUCGGACCUCACGCUAUCAGAUGAGCCUAGGUCGGAUUAGCUAGUUGGUGGGGUAAAGGCCUACCAAGGCGACGAUCCGUAACUGGUCUGAGAGGAUGAUCAGUCACACUGGAACUGAGACACGGUCCAGACUCCUACGGGGGGCAGCAGUGGGGAAUAUUGGACAAUGGGCGAAAGCCUGAUCCAGCCAUGCCGCGUGUGUGAAGAAGGUCUUCGGAUUGUAAAGCACUUUAAGUUGGGAGGAAGGGCAGUAAGUUAAUACCUUGCUGUUUUGACGUUACCAACAGAAUAAGCACCGGCUAACUUCGUG